rnacentral:rRNA from 1 species
CUGACCGUGCAAAGGUAGCAUAAUCAUUAGUUUUUUAAUAGAAAGCUGGUAUGAAAGGUUGGAUGAGAAAAUGACUGUCUCUGUUUAAAUUAUUUAGAAUUUUAUUUUUAAGUAAAAAAGCUUAAAUAAAUAUAGAAGACGAGAAGACCCUAUAGAGUUUUAUAGAUUUGUAUUUAAAUAUCUUUUGGAAUUAAAAAAUUUUUAGGUAUAAAUGUAUUUGGUUGGGGUGAUUGAAAAAUGGAAUAAACUUUUUUUUUAUUGCAACAUUAAUUUAUGAUUAUUUGAUCCUUAGAUAAAGAUUAAAAGAAAAAAUUACCUUAGGGAUAACAGCGUAAUUUUUUUAAAGAGUUCAAAUCGAAAAAAAAGAUUGCGACCUCGAUGUUGGAUUAAAAUAAAAUUUUGGUGUAGGGGCUAAAGUAUUUGGGUCUGUUCGACCCUUAAAAUUUUACAUGAUCUGAGUUUAAACCGGUGU